ACUACGGGUGGCAGCAGUGAGGAAUAUUGGUCAAUGGGCUUACGCCUGAACCAGCCAAGUCGCGUGAGGGAAGACUGCCCUAUGGGUUGUAAACCUCUUUUGUCAGGGAGCAACGCCGGCUACGUGUAGCCGGACUGAGAGUACCUGAAGAAAAAGCAUCGGCUAACUCCGUGCCAGCAGCCGCGGUAAUACGGAGGAUGAGAGCGUUAUCCGUAUUUAUUGGGUUUAAUGGGUGCGUAGGCGGAAUGCCAAGUCAGCGGUAAAAUCGCGGGGCUCAACCUCGCUCCGCCGUUGAAACUUGCGGUCUUGAGUGGGCGAGAAGUAUGCGGAAUGCGUGGUGUAGCGGUGAAAUGCAUAGAUAUCACGCAGAACUCCGAUUGCGAAGGCAGCAUACCGGCGCCCAACUGACGCUGAAGCACGAAAGCGUGGGUAUCGAACAGGAUUAGAUACCCUAGUAGUC
rnacentral:rRNA from 1 species